AAAAACGCCAACAACAUAACAAAAACAAUAGCAAGAAAAUAUAAAACGAAACUCAUUUAUCUACUCGAAAGUAAUAGAAAAGAAAACUAAAUGAAAAUAAUAAUCAAACUAACUUCAAGAAGAACUAUCAGCCCGGCUCAAUGACAGAGACGUAAACACUUGACAAACCAUCAUGUCUUCUGCCCACUGUCAGUGUAUCAUUAUUAUUGCCUCGCAUCGCCUCCGUCACCCUCGUCCGGGACUCCCAUGCCGCCAUAUUUACUCCCUAGGCAUUGAGGUGCAGAGUGAGGACAAGAUGGCGGCGCUGGGACUUAGAGAUAUAGAGCAGAUUCCCUCAUUGAAGGAGGAGGGAUCACGCCUUGGAGAGAAAAUAUGAGGCCGAGAGUCCACGUUAUGAAGAGUCAGCGACCAACUCACUUGUGUAGGAGGUCCUGAAGGUGGUGAGGCAGUGAGGAGUGAUGGUGCCACUUGGACCUCACACUGAAUGUCUGCAGUGCACCAAGGAUAGGGGAAAGUGUUAGUGAACCCUGAAGGAGGGGCAACUGGAAUGGGACCUUAAGACACAGUGUCACCAGCCACUACAAUUGUGUCGUUCACUAUGGUCUGGAAAAACUGCCAGAUUCACCAGCCAACUGAAUUUAACACAUAAAAGUUGGUCAGCUGGAAAAAAGAUGGUUCUGGAGUUGAGCAAGUCAACCUAUGAAGAGAGAUUAAAAAUAUUGGAAAUUCCUACCCUUGAAAAUAGGAGAGAGGGAGGAGGAUUUAAUAAACAUCUAUAGAGUGAUAAGUGGUAUGGAAACUGUGGACAAAGAAUGUUUUAUAACUUUAGACACACAGAGUACAAGGGGACACAGUAAGAAGUUGAAGAAAGUUAACUGUAGAAGAGACAUCAAGAAGUAUAGUUUUCCUCACAGAAGUGUGAACAAAUGGAAGGAACUCAGUGAACACGUUGUCAAUGCCGAAACUGUCCUUGCUUUUAAGACCAAACUGGAUAGAUAUAAAGACAGGAUACUGUGAGAUUACUCCCCUCCCGUAAACCACAACUAGCUAAACACACACACACACACACACACAAAUAAAGGAAAAAGUAGAAACUGUUCAGAAAGGAAAUGAGAAAAUGAAGGCAAUUGUAAAGGAUGUGGAAAUGAGGCAAAUAAGUGGUUAAAUGAACAUAAAUUUGAAGAAGAAUCACUGAAGAAAAUAAUAGAACAAAAAAAAAAUGAGAAACAAAACCUGAGACAGAAAAUAGUAAAUGUUAUUAAAGAAGAGAAAUUAUUAGUGAGAGACACUAGAAAAAUAUAAACAAGAAAUUGUGUUUGGUUUAAAGGAAGAGAAAAUAGUAAGCAGAAUUCAGAGAGAGGAAUAGGAAGGAAACGAACCUGUUGAAUAAGUUACUGAAGAAAGUGACGGAUGAAGACAGCCAGGUAGUAAAGCAAGUGAAGAGUUCCAUAGAAUUGGGAAAUGUAAAGAAGAAAAAAUGAGACCCAUAAGAAUAAGGUUUGCAACACAGGCACAAGCAUAAGUAAUUAAUGGGUCUUGGAGGUUGUCUGGAGAUGAAGAAUAUAGGAAUGUAUGGAUAAACAGGAACAUGGAUGACACUGAAAGGUUGAAGCAAAAGGAGCUGGUAAAUGAGGCUAAACAAAAAACAAAAAAACAAUGAAUGAAGGAGAAGUUGUUGUUCUGGAGAGUGAGAGACAUGAGGAUAAAGAAAUGGUACAUCAAACAGUAAGUAAAGUAUGUUGUACAAAUGUAAAUGGAUUAAUGUCAGCUAAAAUGGAAUUAAAUGAAUUGUUAAACAGAACUGCACCGGAUUUUAUUGUAUUAUGUGAGACAAAACAAAAAAAUGAAUGGGUAAGUCCUGACAUUGGUGAUGAUAAAUAUGAUUUAUGGAUGAAAAAUAGAAGUGACAAGGGAGGAGGUGGAGUGAUCAUUCUGACUAAAAAGUGUGUCAAAGUGGAGAAGGUAAUAAAAAAUGAAGACAAGUCUGAAAUUGUACAAGUGAUGAUUAGAAGUGGAAAUGGAAGGAUGAUGAAUUAUGUAGGAGUGUAUGUGCCACUUGUGACCAAUGCUUGGUGAAAAGAAGAGCAUGAAGAGAUGUUGGUGGAUGUGUUAAAAGGUCUUGAAAAGAUAGUGGUGGAAAGUAGUGAUAUAGUUGUUGUUGUUGUUGUUGGUGAUUUUAAUUGUAAGGAGAUAAAUUGUGAGACAUUGACAACUACUGGAAGUGAGAGCUCAUGGAGUAAUUGACUGUUAAACUGGGCGGUGGAAAACUUGAUGACUCAAUGGGUUGAUUGUGAUACCAGAUUUAGUGGAAGAGAUAAACCAUUAAGACUUGAUUUAGUGUUUACCAAGGACGUGGAAGUUAUUGAAACUAUACACUGUGAUAGCCCUCUAGGUAAAAGUGAUCAUGUGUUGAUGGAAUUUAAUUUGAAAGAUGAAAAUGUAAUAAUUGAUGAAAAUUUUAAGGUGAAAAGAUUUAAAUACAGUAAAGCUGACUUUGAAAAAUUAAGAAAGUACUUUGUUGCUGUGGACAGAAAAGACUUUGAAGACACAGAAGAUGUUUGGGAAAAAUGUGAUGAAUUUAUAAGGAUAUACAAUUCUGCUGUGGAGAAUUUUGUACCUAGAGGAGGAGUGAGAUGUAGAAAGGGUAAAGAAUGGUUCAACACAAAAUGCAGAGGCAAGAAAUUGUAAGCUUGGAAUAGAUGGAAGAAGAGGAAAACUGAGAGCAGAUGGGAGGAAUAUAUUGAUGCUAGAAACAAGUACAUUGAGAUAAUAAGAAUGGAGAGAAGAAACUAUGAAAGAGAUAUAAUAGAUAAGUGUAUAAAUGAACCCAAACUGUUCUUUAGACAUAUUAAUGGGAAGAUGAAGAAGAAGGAAGGUGUAUCAAGAUUGAAAGUUGAAGGAAAAAUCUAUGAGGAUGCACAGGACAUGGCGGAGGUUAUGAACGAUAGUUUCAGAUCGGUAUUUACUGUGGAAGGGGAGUCUGAUGCCGGAAGGGAUAAGUUGGUGAGGAAUAUACUAAGUAAAGCAACUGGUCCAGAUGGAAUAUCAAACUGAAUAUUGAAGGAAUGUAGAGAACAACUGGCUGAUAAAACUCAGUCUGGUGGUGACAUCACUAUCGCAGGGAAGAGUAUGAAAAGACUGGAAGAGAGCAAAUAGUACACCAAUAUUCAAAGGAGGAAAUAAGGAAACUCCACUAAAUUACAGACCAGUGUCCUUGACUAGUGUUGUAGGAAAACUGAAAGAACAAUAAAGGAAAGAUGGAUGGAACACUUGGAAAGAGAUAAAGUUUUGGUAAAUUGUCAAUUUGGAUUUAGGAGAGAAAGACCAUGCUCCAUGAACUUAUUGUCCUUUUAUUCAAGGAUAGUUGAUAUUGUGCAGGAGAGAGACGGAUGGGUGGAUGGUGUCUACUUACACUUGAGGAAAGUGUUUGGCAAAGUACCUCACCGAAGAUUGCUAUGGAAGAUAAGAAAUUAUGGAAAAAUUGGAGGAAGACUGCUGGAGUGGAUGGAGGAUUAUCUGGAUGAUAGAGAGAUGAGAACUGUUAUACAAGACCAAAAUUCAUCUUGGCUGAAAGUAACUAGUGGUGUCCCACAGAGGUCAGUGUUACUGUAUGUAAAGCGUAUGUACCUCACAUCAUUAUUCCUCGGCAUUCUUAAGUGAAACAUUCGGUAGUUUUCUAUUUGCAUGAAGACGUGUAAUAUGUGUAAGUAUCGGUAUUCAGUGCUAUAUGAAGCACCAAAGCCGAUGCUCGCUUGUAAGUAGAGUGUGGUUAACCCACUGGUCACCUGCAGGCAUUACUCACAGCCAAAUUGCACUCAGACAGACAGGCAGGAAGCUGACCAAGGUAAAUACUUUAAUAGUCAUAGUGCCAAGUUGAUUGAUGUACUGUUAAUGAAUACUGUAAUAUGUUGAAAGUGUUUAAUAUCAGUGUAUAAUGUUAUUUUAUAAGAAAUUGAGACCGAGAACUUAUUUGCAGUUCUUACGGUCAUGCCUACCUCAUCAAUAAAUGUCAA